ensembl:lncRNA
CACGGCCCCGCUCCAUCCUGGCUCGGGCGGGGCUCGCCACGCAUGCGCUUCCCUGCCGGACAGGGAACAGUUGCACCUCCCACCGUGGUGCGCGGGCCGGACGCGGGCAGAGGCAGGAUCCAGGCAGCCAGGCCUGCGAGCGUGCACAGCCGGCCGCCCCUGGAGAGGAUCUGGGUAUGGCCGGGGCCGCGCUCCGUCAGGGCCGCUGGUUGCCGGCCUUCGGCUCCUCCAGCCGGGAGGGGAUCAAAGCAGUCCGGGUCGCCUGGCGAAGACGGGUGGCGUCUCGGCGCCCUUUAUAGCCCACUUGUUGCUGUGCAGACUCCGGGUGGGGGCGGAGCUCAGCGGCAGAGCAAUCGCCUGGCGGGUGCGAGGCCCUGGGUUCGAGCCUCAGCACUGCCAGCAUAAAGAAACAGCAUAAAAACGCGGGCUCCUGAUAGCACUUCAGUGUCAACUCCGUGUAAUUUAUGAUGCGUUCAACAAGACUGCGUGGCUACUCUGUGCUUGAGGUAUUGCUGGCCACGCCUGGCCACCAGACGGGGAGCUGAUGCUGGGCAGCAGGACACUGUGGCCUCCCUGGAGGAGCUGUCAGCCUUGCUGCAGGGAGUCCGAGCUGUCGGAGGACCCGGAUCCGCAGCUGCUUGCUGAGCUACUAGGAGAGCGCAGGGCCAGCGAGAGGAGAGACCACGCUGUCGCUUUCACUGGGGAGCCUGGAAACCCGGGUGGCAGCCGGGUAGCAGCUGGGCCCUGUCUGCAUUCCCAUGGGCGUGGCUUUCGGUCCUCAGCCCCACCCGAGUUCCACUCCGCACCGCAGGCCUCUGUGGACGCUGGAGUGAAAGGAGCCAUUCACACGCUCACGGCUGCAUGGAGCCGCUUGGCGGAUGAUUUCUUGGUUACUCAGCACCCAUAGGACGCCUGUCCCUGUCGGGCUCACAGGGCACCCUUGGGAGCCACUGUCACCUGUCACUCAGCCCCGGGAGCAGAGGAGCAAGAUUUGGGACGGAGGAGCAGGGGCUUUGGAAGCCUGGUGGCAAGCCCUGUAAAUUGUGUUAGCCCAGAAGCACUUUGCAGGCCAGAGUUUGGGGGCUGGGGCCAAAGUCCAAAAGGAAUGGGUGGUGCACGCCUAUCAUCCUGGUGAUCGUGUGUGUGUGUGUACACACUUGUGUGUACGGUAAGGGGAAUGUAAGGGCAUUGUCAGAGGAAAGAGAAUGGCAUUAU